CAUUCGCUAAAACCCCAUAUGCCCCUGGGUGAAACAGAGGAGAUAAGUAAUACUAACUCACCUCUGCCUGAAGAGAAGCUCGCGGCUGAUUAGCUAGUUGGUAGGGUAAAGGCCUACCAAGGCGACGAUCAGUAGCUGGUCUGAGAGGACGAUCAGCCACACUGGAACUGAGACACGGUCCAGACUCCUACGGGAGGCAGCAGUGAGGAAUUUUCUGCAAUGGGCGAAAGCCUGACAGAGCAAUACCGCGUGAGGGAUGAAGACUUACUGAGUUGUAAACCUCGGUACCUUAAGGAAGAAGAUCUGACGGUACUUAAGGUGGAAAGCAUCGGCUAACUCCGUGCCAGCAGCCGCGGUAAGACGGGGGAUGCAAGUGUUAUCCGGAUUUACUGGGCGUAAAGCGUCUGCAGGUGGUUUCUUAAGUCUACUGUUAAAUCUUGAGGCUCAACCUCAAAUCUGCAGUAGAAACUAGGAGACUUGAGUAUAGUAGGGGUAGAGGGAAUUUCCAGUGGAGCGGUGAAAUGCGUAGAUAUUGGAAAGAACACCGAUGGCGAAGGCACUCUACUGGGCUAUUACUGACACUCAGAGACGAAAGCUAGGGGAGCAAAUGGGAUUAGAUACCCCAGUAGUC
rnacentral:rRNA from 1 species